GCAAAAGCCCUAUUCAGGGCUACAGAUAAGUCUAUUGUUGAAUUUAU
rfam:Picea glauca, whole genome shotgun sequence.